CGGAGGAUCCAAGCGUUAUCCGGAAUCAUUGGGUUUAAAGGGUCCGUAGGCGGUUUUAUUAAGUCAGUGGUGAAAUCUGGUCGCUCAACGAUCAAACGGCCAUUGAUACUGAUAGACUUGAAUUAUUGGGAAGUAACGUAGAAUAUGUAGUGUAGCGGUGAAAAUGCUUAGAUAUUACAUGGAAUACCAAUUGCGAAGGCAGGUUACUACCAAUGGAUUGACGCUGAUGGACGAAAGCGUGGGGAGGCGAACAGGAUUAGAUACCCUGGUAGUCCACGCCGUAAACGAUGGAUACUAGCUGUUCGGAGCAAUCUGAGUGGCUAAGCGAAAGUGAUAAGUAUCCCACCGUGGGGAGUACGUUCGCAAGAAAUGA
rnacentral:rRNA from 1 species